CCUACGGGGGGCAGCAGUGGGGAAUAUUGCGCAAUGGGCGAAAGCCUGACGCAGCGACGCCGCGUGAGGGAUGAAGGUCUUCGGAUCGUAAACCUCUGUCAGCAGGGCAGAACGGUCACUGUGCUAAUCAGCAGUGAAUUGACGGUACCUGCAAAGGAAGCACCGGCUAACUCCGUGCCAGCAGCCGCGGUAAUACGGAGGGUGCGAGCGUUAAUCGGAAUUACUGGGCGUAAAGCGCUCGUAGGCGGUAUGUCAAGUCAAGGGUGAAAUCCCCGCGCUCAACGUGGGAACUGCCUUUGAAACUGGCAAACUGGAGUGUGUGAGAGGAUAGUGGAAUUCCAGGUGUAGGAGUGAAAGCCGUAGAUAUCUGGAGGAACAUCAGUGGCGAAGGCGACUAUCUGGCACAUAACUGACGCUGAGGAGCGAAAGCGUGGGUAGCAAACAGGAUUAGAUACCCUAGUAGUC
rnacentral:rRNA from 1 species